CAAAAGGAUGUUAAUAAUUUUUUAGCUUAUAAACAAAGGGAAAUUAUUUAUCACAGUUCUAGAAUCUGAGAAGUCUCCAAGGCACCAACAGAUUCAAUAUCUGGUGAGGAACAAUUUCUUAGUCUACAAACAGCACUUUCUUGUGCUGAGGCAGAAGAGCUCCCUUGAGCAUAUUUGACAAGGCAGUAAGUAGUCUUUUGACUGAGGACUCUGCUCCCAUGAUCUAAUUACGUCCCAAAGGGACUCACCUCUCCAAACUACCACCUGGGGGUUAUGACUCCAACAGGAAGAAGAUUCCAUGGCCCUAGAGAAGAUUAAGACAACAGGUUUAAGGACUGGAUAUAUGAAUUUCUAUGUGGAGUACAAUUUCAUUUACCACAGUAUCCACCAACCAGCCUCGGACUAUGAUAAGAACAGAAAUGAAAUCUGAGAUUAAUUUCAGAAAAGGGACAUUUUUGGGUUGUUUGUAUAGCAAUUACAUUAACCUAAUCAAUACAAAAUAUACAGAAGUAAUAUUUUAGACUAAA